GCUGUUUCUCGGUCUUUUGACUAAGAGCAAGUGUAAUAUCUGUUCCUAUCAGUUUAAUAAUAGACGUAUUAGUGUAUCUAGGGGAAGAUGGAAGGUAAGUCUACCAGUAUACUUUAGAGGUUAUUUUCUUGUAUGAAUUUUAUUUCAAGCUAGGCAUAGUGGUGCAUGACUGUAGUCCUAACUACACUGA